GAGGAUGAUUAGGGUGGGGCCAGGAUUGUACUACUGCAACUGAUCAGUAGUAACGCGGCUCUAAGAAGAACUACAUUGUUUUAUUCAAUGUGUUUGAUGGCAUUUAAUUUUGCUGUUAUUAUUAUUAUUAUUAGAAAUUAGAAAUAUAUUGUUUUGUUUUGUUUGUUUUAAAAUGGAGAAAGAAAAGGAAAGGGAAAUAUAGAUUGAAAAAUUAAAACAAAGAAAAGGGGUUUAUUAUUGGUAUUCAUUCAUAAGUGAGUGGAGACUGAGAGUGAGUGAGUGAGUGAGAGUGAGAGAGAGAGAGAGAAAUAUGUAUAUGGGUUUAGCAGCAGAACGAUGGGGACUGAUCGAAUCGAUGACUCUGCUCCAAUGACUCGGUUAGAAGCGAAUCAAGAAAAAAUAAUAAUUAAUUGUGGUGGAAUGGAAGAACAAGACAUACAAGAGAUUCUAGAUGCAUCUCGAUUUGUGGAGAGCAAGCUCCCAUUUAAAUACAUUGGCAUUCCUAUUAACUCUAGAGGUAAACUAAUUUGGUUGAGAAAAUGGUUACUAGGAUCAAAUUAUGUAAUAGUCGCGUAAUCAGACAUGAAGAUUAGUAUAAAAAAAAAAAAAAGUAAUAUUUA